rnacentral:pre_miRNA from 1 species
UACAUACUCCCUCCGUUCAGAAUUACUCGUCCAAGAAAUGAAUGUAUCUAGAUGUAUUUUAGUUGUAGAUACAUCCAUUUUUGUGACAAGUAAUUCCGAACGGAGGGAGCACUAC